AUGAAACACCCGUCCCGAUCUCCCGUCCAAAAGAAAAACGCUGUGACCAGCGAGCCGCUCCCUCUCUCUCCUCGCACGAGUCGCGGCACGCGCUACGGUUCCUCACGCCGCCGCCGCACACCUCCAUCCCCUUCCCAACCCCGGCCGGCCUCCACUCCACUCCUCCGCGGGCGCCACCCAACCACCGCCGCCCUCUCCACGCACCCGCACCCACUCACCCAACUCUCUCUCCGCCGCCGCCAUCUAGAUCUCGUCCGAUCGAUUCCUGCGGCGCGCAUCACACUCCUUCUGUGCUCGCCUCGCGCCGCUGUGUUCACCCAUCCGGCUGGAUUCGCCGCUCCCCGGUGGCAAGGGCUUCGGUCGCCUCCAACUCCGGCGACUCCGGCGGUUCAUCUCCGACACCUACCCAGCCCCCACGCGCAGCUCUGUCUCCUGGAUGAAUUUGUCCUGCUCGAGGACGAUCGGUUCUUCCUCAAGCUCCAAGGACGCCUGCCAUCCUCGAGCCUCCCUCCGUGGGAUGCCAUGGAGAUGAAACUCCCCUCGACCAGGGUAGGAAUUCAAGGGCAUGUGGGAGAGAGAGGAGGUCCAUGGAGAAGAUGCUCUGCUCCAACCCUCCCUGCCUCCUACUACAAGAUGUCUUUUAUUGUGUGUGCUUGUAUUGCAGCAGCCAUGUGCGUAUCAAAAAAAGGGUCCAGUUUGCAGCAGUCACAUGAUAUGGACAUGUUUUUUCAUCACAAUUGGAUUUUUGGAUUUACUAGGCUAAUUGGUGGUGGUUGCUGUUGUUGUUGUUUUAGCAGCAGCAGCAGCAGCAGGCCGAGUGACGGUGGUGGCUGUGUGCAGGCCAUGGAGGCGAUGAUGAGCACGAGGGGAAGGCUGCUGCUUCAACCCCGUUAA
rnacentral:rRNA from 1 species